GACGAACCGUGCGAACGUUGUUCGGAAUUACUGGGUGUAAAGGGUUCGUAGGCGGUGUGGCAAGUCGGGAGUGAAAUCUCUGGGCUCAACUCAGAGACUGCUUCCGAAACUGCUGUGCUGGAGUGUGGGAGAGGCGCGUGGAAUUGCAGGUGUAGCGGUGAAAUGCGUAGAUAUCUGCAGGAACACCCGUGGCGAAAGCGGCGCGCUGGACCACUACUGACGCUGAGGAACGAAAGCUAGGGGAGCAAACAGG
rnacentral:rRNA from 1 species